rfam:Myotis davidii contig323309, whole genome shotgun sequence.
GGCGUUUCUCAGGUGAUGUGCCCUGGAAUUGGGCUCCCUCCGCUCUGGUUCUGGGUGCGUCACCCGAGAACCACA